CAACCUCAACUCAUAUGGGACUACCCCCUGAAUUUAAGCAUAUUAAUUAGGGGAGGAAAAGAAACUAACAAGGAUUUUCUUAGUAGCGGCGAGCGAAAAGAAAACAGUUCAGCACUAAGUCACUUUGUCUAUAUGGCAAAUGUGAGAUGCAGUGUAUGGAGCGUCAAUAUUCUAGUAUGAGAAAUUAAUGAUUUAAGUCCUUCUUAAAUGAGGCCAUUUACCCAUAGAGGGUGCCAGGCCCGUAUAACGUUAAUGAUUACUAGAUGAUGUUUCCAAAGAGUCGUGUUGCUUGAUAGUGCAGCACUAAGUGGGUGGUAAACUCCAUCUAAAACUAAAUAUAACCAUGAGACCGAUAGUAAACAAGUACCGUGAGGGAAAGUUGAAAAGAACUCUGAGAAUCCACCACAGUGGCG
rnacentral:ncRNA from 1 species